UGCAUUCACUACUGUAAGUCGCUCUGGAUAAGAGCGUCUGCUAAAUGGCUAAAA
rfam:Salmo salar isolate Sally breed double haploid chromosome ssa07, whole genome shotgun sequence.